rnacentral:lncRNA from 1 species
GCCGGGUGCUAUGAUCAACCUCUCUAUUUAGUAGUUUGUGGUUGUUGUUUAGCAUAUUGUUGGUCUAGUGUUGGCUACAAGACUUCUGCGUUUUUGCUUUAGUCUUGGCAUCAUUAACUGAGUUUUAGGCUCCUUUUGUGACAUUGCAUCUUGAAUUGGUUGUUUCUUUUUGUCUUUUUCGGCUUGCCUCGUUAGUAAGGCUUGUUCUUGUAUUGUUUCCUCCAACUUAGGCAUUUCUUAGUGUUUCCUCCAAUUUAGGCAUUGGUUUGGACAAUCGGUAAGUGAAAGAUCAAAGUAUGCUUCAACAGUCAAAAUGUAUACAAAUAGAACAGACAACACCGGAACUACGAGACAGAUGUUUUUUUAUUUAUUAAAAUGGUAUUAUAUGAAACACUUGAACUAGAGCAUAAGAAGUACCUAGUAGCAGGGCAAAGAAUACACUCAUGUUAGUAAGAACACUUGAAUACAAUAUAAGCAUAGUAGCACUAAACAAAGACAAAAAGCAUAGCAGUAGCCUAAAAACCCCAAAGUAGCAGGAUCACGCUAAAACAGCACUGCACAAGAAGCCAGAAUCCGGAAAAACUGCACCAGCCAUAAAAAAGCUGCUCCAGUCAAACAAUGACAUGAUUUGAGAAAAUGACAUAAUUUAAAGUAAUCAUAGUUGUCGGUGUCGUACUGGGACACCCCUAAUCUGAGGAGCGUUCGUGCUUCAUAGAGCGUGUAGGAAAUGAGGAAAUUACUACAAAUCAAUUGAUUCCGUGCUGCAACCUGCAGUGCCCGUUGCAUCCAAUUUAAGCUUCUCCAGAGGUUGUUCUAGUCUUUUAU